rnacentral:rRNA from 1 species
UACGUAGGGGGGCUAGCGUUGUCCGGAAUCAUUGGGCGUAAAGCGCGUGUAGGCGGUCCGGUAAGUCCGCUGUGAAAGUCGGGGGCUCAACCCUCGGAUGCCGGUGGAUACUGCCGGGCUAGAGUCCGGAAGAGGCGAGUGGAAUUCCUGGUGUAGCGGUGAAAUGCGCAGAUAUCAGGAGGAACACCAAUUGCGAAGGCAGCUCGCUGGGACGGUACUGACGCUGAGACGCGAAAGCGUGGGGAGCAAACAGG